rnacentral:tRNA from 1 species
GCCUUUCUAGCUCAAUCGGAUAGAGCGUCAGACUUUUAAUCUGAAGGCUGCGAGUUCGACCCUCGCGAGAGGCU